rnacentral:rRNA from 1 species
GACGAACGCUGGCGGCGUGCUUAACACAUGCAAGUCGAACGAAGAGCGAUGGAAGCUUGCUUCUAUCAAUCUUAGUGGCGAACGGGUGAGUAACGCGUAAUCAACCUGCCCUUCAGAGGGGGACAACAGUUGGAAACGACUGCUAAUACCGCAUACGAUCUAAUCUCGGCAUCGAGGAUAGAUGAAAGGUGGCCUCUACAUGUAAGCUAUCACUGCAGGAGGGGAUUGCGUCUGAUUAGCUAGUUGGAGGGGUAACGGCCCACCAAGGCGAUGAUCAGUAGCAGGUCUGAGAGGAGGAACGGCCACAUUGGGACGGAGACACGGCCCAGACUCCUACGGGAGGCAGCAGUGGGGAAUCUUUCGCAAUGGACGAAAGUCUGACGGAGCAACGCCGCGUGAGUGAUGACGGCCUUCGGGUUGUAAAGCUCUGUUAAUCGGGACGAAAGGCCUUCUUGCGAAUAGUGAGAAGGAUUGACGGUACCGGAAUAGAAAGCCACGGCUAACUACGUG